AUGAGGGGCCCCGUGUGGGGGCUGCAGCACCCAAGCAGCAUCAGGAGAGCUGGGGGAGCGCAGCCCUCACAGAACACGGCUGUGAGGUCGCCCACAGGCAAAGGGCUCCCCACGGGCAGCCCCGCGAUGGAGAGCCACCAGCAAAUGAUCAGAUACUUGGCCAGCUACUGCAGGAGUGAGUGGCAGCCGACGUUUCAUGCCCAGCUCUGUGCAGAUCACUACAGUGGGAAGAGACCCUGGCGUCAGAGCACAGACCCAGUUAUUGGGAAAAUGGAUUUAAAAUAUGGAGCUAAUCCUGUCUGCAAUAUCUGCAGCCCCCAAGUCGCUGGAGCGAUGUACCCGCAUUUCAUCAGGGAACAGCGGACAAAGCUGGAUCUUCUCAGGAACCGUAAAUACGUCGAGACACCAGGACCUGGAACAUAUGAUGUAGAGAGGGGCUACCGAGCUUGCUUACCCAGCUCCCCCAGCAUCACCAUUCAGGGAGUCAGGAGACCCAAGAGACACAAAACCGGCCCUUUUACAACUCUUUGAAAUGGAGAGAACCACAGGAUUCCACUCCUAAUCAAAGGGCUUGCUCCUCUUCUAUGGUGAGGAAUGCAUAAAAGUUCAUGUCAUUCUAUCGUGUACUUGUCCUGGUCACCAAAAAAAUCCUGCCUCUGCUCCAAGGCAGAAGAAAAAGCUGAGCAAAGGAUCCCACCUGUCUGCAACAGAAAAACUCACAAAUUCACCUAAGCCAGAUGUUCCUAGUGUUGGCUAAAUGCCAGGCCACGCUCCACACCAUCAGGCACAAAUGCUGAGCGAGGAGCUAUGGACUUAACAAGGACAGGCCCGGACAUCCAGCCACAUGUAGGAUUUUAUUUCUAACAGGGACAGAGCAUUUUCAUCCCACAAGCGCACACAGCUACUCUUAACUCAGUUAUGUGGACAGGCAGCCUUAGGCACAGCAGCACACCCGGCUGUGCUGGCUCAGGGGAAGGGGGCCCUGUUACAACCCCGCUUACCCUGAUGAAGGGCACUACCUGUAGCUGCUGGAGCCGUGCAUCUGGCACUGCAAGAGCUCACACUUCACACGGGACAAGUUAGCAGUGUUUGCCCUCUACACCACAUGGGAAUGUUUGCUCAAGGCAACUCUACUUCUGUAAGCUCUGUGUUGCUGCAAGGAAAUGAUCUCGGAAAUGAGCACCCUACAGCUUCCAGUCUGUGCAAGAACCGUCACCUUGGUACCUCCGCACAGGGCAGGCAGACCCUGGCCCAGACCCGCUACGCACAGCAUGGGACAAGGACAAAUUAAGCCAGUCACACUGUUUACAGACAGCUUGGUGUUUUAUUAAGCAUUUAAGGUGUCACAAAAAAACCUUAAGGAACCUUCAUUCGGCAACUUUUCUGCACUCUUAGCUCUGUUGAGAAAAGCAAAUACAGCUCAUUAGUAAAGAGCCCUUUAGUAAAUAAAUUAAUACAGCAGUUUCA
rnacentral:lncRNA from 1 species